ensembl:lncRNA
GAACUACUGAAACUGUACUGAUCUGUGAAGAGGCUUUACCAGUGCAAUUAAUGUAUUUAUCACAUCCAAAUUCCCUGUGCAUUAGUUUUACUGGCAUUGUGCAGAUGACAGAUUUAUUUAUUUAUUUAUUUAUUUAUUUAUUUAUUGUGCACUGGAGCAUAUUUCAGCUCAAAUAACAGUGUAUGCAGGUGGCUGGAGUAGAACAGUAUUUCCACUUAAGACGAACCAGAACCAAACAAAUGCGUGGCUUCAUGAAAUACCUGUGCAAUUCCUACAACAUCCCUGUGCUACCUGGACCAGAACGUCAUCCUGUCUGUCAUUAGGAGUGUACUGGCUGACUUAGGUUGAAAUAGCAAUGCUGGCAAGCUCCAGUGAAGACGGGGGAAUUGCCAGAAGUGUAUUGGCCAAUCUAAUACAAAGCAAGACCAAUACAGAACAAGGUGGAAUUAAUUUACAUAAAGAAGUGGCACUACAGUGUGUUAUUGUUUGAAGCAAAGCAGAUUGUAAGCCUAUCUUGUAGCAACGCCAGCCAACACACUUCACUAAUAGCAACCAGAAUAGCUUGGAAAUUUACAUGAUUGAUACAUAAAUAGAAGAAAAAUAGAAUGCACAGAGGACAAGAGAGAGAGAGAGAGAAUUCUGGUAUCACACAUUUACUCUUUCUAUGAAUCUGAAGCUGUUGGAAAACCCACUGGAAAAUCUAUCAUUAUAGAAGACGAAUGGAACUUGGACCAAUGUCAAAGCCUUUGAAAAGAUACUUUUUAGUCAGGAAUAAUUCAAUUAUUACUGAAUUAUAUAAAUUCAAUAAUAAAUAUAAUUAUAAUAUAUACAGUAUGUAUAAUAUAUAAUUAUAAUAUAAUAUAAUUAUAAUCAAUAUAAAUAAUAAUAAUAAAUAAUAAUAAUUUUAAAAAAGAUUAACUGGUGGUAGUCAGACAAAAAGACCAAAUAAGUGAUUAAACAAAAUUCUCAUACCACAACAUUUUCUGGAGCACUUCAUGAUGUUCGAAUGCUAUAUCAAAGUGUAAACAAAGUGUGAACAUAUCACAUCAGUUCAACCAAGGUAUGAUUUGUAUGAGUGUGGUGGAAUACAUUGAAAUGUUGAUCAUGUAGCACGUUAGUGAGCUGUGUAUUGACAGGGAGCUUCCAUAGUCAAG